rnacentral:rRNA from 1 species
GAUGAACGCUGGCGGCGUGCCUAAUACAUGCAAGUCGAGCGGACGGACGGUAAGCUUGCGUCUUUGAUGUUAGCGGCGGGCGGGUGAGUAACACGUGUAUCACCUACUUAUAUUUCUGGGAUAACUUCGGGAAACCGGAGCUAAUACCAGAUAAUAUUUUGAACCGCUGUGUGCAAAGGUGAAUGACGGCCUUGCUGUCUCUUAUAGCUGGUUCCGCUCUGCAUUAGCGAGUUGGUAAGGUAACAGCUUACCAAGGCUACGAUGCAUAGCCGACCUGAGAGGGUGAUCGGCCACACUGGAACUGAGACACGGUCCAGACUCCUACGGGAGGCAGCAGUGGGGAAUCUUGGGCAAUGGGCGCAAGCCUGACGGAGCAAUGCCGCGUGAGUGAAGAAGGCCUUCGGAUCGUAAAGCUCUGUUAUUGGGGAAGAACAUCUGUGGCAGUAGAUGUGGCCAUCUUGACGGUACCUAAUGAAAAAGCACCGGCUAACUACGUG